UGCAUCAAUAGUUCCGUUGGUAGAGCAUGAGACUCUUAACCUCAGGGUCGUGGGUUUGAGCCCCAUGUUGGGCCA